GACGUAGGUGGCAAGCGUUGUCCGGAUUUAUUGGGUUUAAAGGGUGCGUAGGCGGUUCUCUAAGUCAGUUGUGAAAUACUUCAGCUUAACUGGAGAGGUGCAAUUGAUACUGGAGAACUUGAGUACUGAUGAGGUAGGCGGAAUGGACGGUGUAGCGGUGAAAUGCUUAGAUAUCGUCCAGAACACCGAUAGCGAAGGCAGCUUACUAAGGAGUAACUGACGCUGAGGCACGAAAGUGUGGGGAUCAAACAGG
rnacentral:rRNA from 1 species